rnacentral:rRNA from 1 species
UAGGGAAUCUUCCACAAUGGGCGCAAGCCUGAUGGAGCAACACCGCGUGAGUGAAGAAGGGUUUCGGCUCGUAAAGCUCUGUUGUUAAAGAAGAACGUGGGUAAGAGUAACUGUUUACCCAGUGACGGUAUUUAACCAGAAAGCCACGGCUAACUACGUGCCCG